AGCCCUUUGUGUUCCAGCCACGCACACGCAGACACAGUGCGGGACUGCGGAGCGCGGAAGCCGCAGCCCACGGCCGACACAGGAAGUGAUCGGGGGCUUUAUGCCGCGCUCGCGCUCGCCACGGUUUCCAUCACGUUACCCUUUGAGGCGCGUUCACUUCCCUGUUGGGGCUGUUCGAGCAGAGAGCGCAGACAAACGCUUCAUGAACCUGUUGGUGCCGGUCGCCGACAUGUCUGUUUGAUUCCUGUGACUCGGGGCACCGCUGAGUUAGACACACGCCACAUCCCUGCUUUGACUAAGCGGCGACUCCGGGUUGCGGUGAUGAGCUGAAUUUGAGCCGGCCGGAGGUUAAUCAACACUUCACUUCCCGCCCCGUGAAACUUUUCUCCAGUCUUUUGAGAGGAAGCGAGGAAGCGGAGCCUCUUCCCCCAGCUGGUCAAGCAAAUGCAGAAGCAACAGCAUCAACGCGAAGCAAAGCGCGGGCGAGACAGGCGGCAGGAUCAUGUGGAAUAAUCACGUCCGGGUGACGUCUUCAUGAGCGCAUCUCCACAUCGAGCCCAGUAACCGGGCCCUGAAUAUGCACUCUCCCCACCGCAGCCGAGCGAAAUGCAACAGCUCUAAUGCACAUUUGGUAUUUAAAACCAUCGUGCCUCAUGGUCAUACUUGUACUGAAUUGAAUUUAUUACAAAAUGUGCACUGAUAUGAAACAUGUAGCUGCGGGGCGUCGUCUCUCCACCGACGCCAGCGAAGGAAAAAGGCAUCGGAUGGAGGGAGGGCGUUCGAGAGGAGAGAGAGAGAGAGAGGGGCGAGCGGGUCAUUAGACGGAUGAAGCGGACGUGAUGUCAGAGUUCCUUCCACUCCACUGUGAGCUGGAGUUCGGGGAAGAACUCGACGGAACGCAGCUUCAUGAUUGAUUGCCCAUUGUGUGUCAUAUUGUUCUUUCAAGGUUGAUUGAAACUUUAACCUCAUUCUUUAACAAAAUGAAGAAAAGCUUGAAAUAUUCCAGGCCUUGAAUUCCUACAAUGCAGCAUUGAAUUAUGCAGCAAUCAGUCAAUUAUUCAUCUGUGUGGCUGUGUUACGGCCA
rnacentral:lncRNA from 1 species